rnacentral:rRNA from 1 species
GCUUAACACAUGCAAGUCGAACGGCAGCGCGAAGGAAGCUUGCUUUCUUUGGCGGCGAGUGGCGAACGGGUGAGUAAUGUAUCGGAACGUGCCCAGUAGCGGGGGAUAACUGGCCGAAAGGUCAGCUAAUACCGCAUACGCCCUACGGGGGAAAGGGGGGGAUCGCAAGACCUCUCACUAUUGGAGCGGCCGAUAUCGGAUUAGCUAGUUGGUGGGGUAAAGGCCUACCAAGGCGACGAUCCGUAGCUGGUUUGAGAGGACGACCAGCCACACUGGGACUGAGACACGGCCCAGACUCCUACGGGAGGCAGCAGUGGGGAAUUUUGGACAAUGGGGGGAACCCUGAUCCAGCCAUCCCGCGUGUGCGAUGAAGGCCUUCGGGUUGUAAAGCACUUUUGGCAGGGAAGAAACGGCCCGGGAUAAUACCCUGGGCUAAUGACGGUACCUGCAGAAUAAGCACCGGCUAACUACGUGCCAGCAGCCGCGGUAAUAC